GAUAGCGUCUUUUGCGAUGGUCCUUCCGCGUGGAAGGUGAAUAGGGAAGCCGGUUUGAGGCCGGCGCUGCCCCCGCAACUGUAAGCGACGAGCCCGCGCCGGUGCCACUGGGAAUUCUUCAGAAUUCUUGGGAAGGCGGCAACAGGCUUUGACUCGCAAGCCAGGAGACCUGCCAUCACGAACUGUGCUUU
rnacentral:ncRNA from 2 species